rnacentral:rRNA from 1 species
UGACUGCUAUCGGAUUGAUACUAAGCCAUGCGAGUCAUUGUAGCAAUACAAGGCAUACGGCUCAGUAACGCGUAGUCAACCUAACCUAUGGACGGGAAUAACCUCGGGAAACUGAGAAUAAUGCCCGAUAGAACAUUAUGCCUGGAAUGGUUUAUGUUCCAAAUGAUUUAUCGCCGUAGGAUGGGACUGCGGCCUAUCAGUUUGUUGAUGAGGUAAUGGCCCACCAAGACUAUUACAGGUACGGGCUCUGAGAGGAGUAGCCCGGAGAUGGGUACUGAGACACGGACCCAGGCCCUAUGGGGCGCAGCAGGCGAGAAAACUUUGCAAUGUGCGAAAGCACGACAAGGUUAAUCCGAGUGGUUCCUGCUAAAGGAACCUUUUGUCAGUCCUAGAAACACUGAUGAAUAAGGGGUGGGCAAGUUCUGGUGUCAGCCGCCGCGGUAAAACCAGCACCUCAAGUGGUCAGGAUGAUUAUUGGGCCUAAAGCAUCCGUAGCCGGCUCUGUAAGUUUUCGGUUAAAUCUGUACGCUCAACGUACAGGCUGCCGGGAAUACUGCAGAGCUAGGGAGUGGGAGAAGUAGACGGUUCUCGGUAGGAAGGGGUAAAAUCCUUUGGUCUAUUGAUGACCACCUGUGGCGAAGGCGGUCU